GACGAACGCUGGCGGCGUGCCUAAUACAUGCGAGUAGAACGCUGAAGGAGGGGCUUGCUCUUCUGGAUGAGUUGCGAACGGGUGAGUAACGCGUAGGUAACCUGCCUGGUAGCGGGGGAUAACUAUUGGAAACGAUAGCUAAUACCGCAUAAGAGUAGAUGUUGCAUGACAUUUGCUUAAAAGGUGCAAUUGCAUCACUACCAGAUGGACCUGCGUUGUAUUAGCGAGUUGGUGGGGUAACGGCUCACCAAGGCGACGAUACAUAGCCGACCUGGGAGGGGGGUCGGCCACCCUGGGACUGAGACACGGCACAGACUCCUACGGGAGGCAGCAGUAGGGAAUCUUCGGCAAUGGACGGAAGUCUGACCGAGCAACGCCGCGUGAGUGAAGAAGGUUUUCGGAUCGUAAAGCUCUGUUGUAAGAGAAGAACGAGUGUGAGAGUGGAAAGUUCACACUGUGACGGUAUCUUACCAGAAAGGGACGGCUAACUACGUG
rnacentral:rRNA from 1 species